rnacentral:rRNA from 1 species
CCGUAGCCUGGUAGCGGGGAUAACUAUUGGAAACGAUAGCUAAUACCGCAUAACAGUAGAUAUCGCAUGAUAGCUGCUUGAAAGGUGCAAUUGCACCACUACCAGAUGGACCUGCGUUGUAUUAGCUAGUUGGUGAGGUAACGGCUCACCAAGGCAACGAUACAUAGCCGACCUGAGAGGGUGAUCGGCCACACUGGGACUGAGACACGGCCCAG